rfam:Gossypium arboreum cultivar AKA8401 contig_141420_1, whole genome shotgun sequence.
UAUUAAAAUUUAUUCAUUUGUACUGUUAAAAACUGGCGUAACUAAUAGAAUAAUCAAACAAUGACGCUUGGCGUCUUACAUGUAUCUCAUAUUAACUAUAGGGACCAGUUUUUUAACAGUAAAAAUAAAUAGAAAUUUUAUUA